rnacentral:lncRNA from 1 species
GGGGAAGAUGAGCAUCGAAGGAAUGAUCGAGAGCAACAAGAAAUGGCUGAAAAGCUUCAGGAAGGACUCAAAAGCACCUCUCUCCCCACGUGCACAGAAGCCCCCGGCCAGCAGCACCAGCCCCAGCCUCCUCCAGCUGGGAAUGGAUGAAAACAGGCAAAUUAAGAUGCCGAGCCACUUGCCAUUUUGCCUGAUGAGGACGCCUGCACUUCAAGGGAUCCCAUCUGUGAAAAAUGAUCUUCAAAGCCAUUUCUCCUGAGAUGCCCCUCACCCUCCGUGCUGUGUGUGCUCCUCGGGUGGGUGAUGAUGCACAGCCCCCUCCUGCUCUGCUCCUGGGUGGUGUGUGCUGGCACACGCCGUGAGCACGGCAGGGGGAUGUUUACAUGCAAAUAGAAAUAUAUUUUUGAUGAGCAUCGUUUUAAAACUCUUAAGAAUGUUUGUAUAUUUUAUUUUACUUUUUUUUUUUUGCUUAUUUUCUUAGAAUUUUUGUAAUUACUCAGCCAGCCUUAGUCCUCUCUAGGAAGGGAGGGAUCAAAACACGGGUUUCCCAUCUGCUGUCGGAUUGCAC